GAUGGUGCACUUCUACACCCUCCAUCAUUGAGUCCAUCCUCACUCCCUCCGUCACCAUCUGGUACGCUGCUGCCACUGACCUCCAGGGCCUUGAGACCUGCAGGAAAGAGAAACGAGGAAACAGGAAGAAACAAAUCCAGACCGAGACCAGACAAGACAAGAGCAUAGCAUAGGCUGUGUGAAUCCAUUCAUUUCAAAAGG